rnacentral:rRNA from 1 species
ACGGGGAGCACCACAACAGGUGGAGCCUGCGGUUUAAUCGGACUCAACGCCGGGAAACUCACCAGAUAAGACAGCUGAAUGAUAGUCGGGCUGAAGACUCUACUUGACUAGCUGAGAGGUGGUGCAUGGCCGUCGUCAGUUCGUACUGUGAAGCAUCCUGUUAAGUCAGGCAACGAGCGAGACCCACGCCCACAGUUGCCAGCGUACUCUCUGGAGUGACGGGUACGACUGGUGGGGACCGCCGCUGCUAAAGCGGAGGAAGGAAUGGGCAACGGUAGGUCAGUAUGCCCCGAAUAUCCCGGGCUACACGCGAGCUACAAUGGUUGGUACAAUGGGUAUCUACCCCGAAAGGGGACGGGAAAUCUCCUAAAACCAAUCUUAGUUCGGAUUGAGGGCUGCAACUCGCCCUCAUGAAGCUGGAAUCCGUAGUAAUCGCGUUUCAACAGAACGCGGUGAAUACGUCCCUGCUCCUU